GAGAUAGAUAAAGUCGUUUCGUUGUGUCAAUCCCUGUGGAUACGAUAUCUGGUUACUAUUUCUGUGCUACAAUUACACCGUGUUAGUUGCGGUAUUUUGUGCUAAUAAUUUAGUGAUCAACUUUUUGGCGCCGUUGCCGGGGAUUGAUUAGAAAUUACUUUAAUAUUUCCGAUAGGAUUUUAUAGUACUUCAGGUUUUUAUUUAUUUUUAUUUUUCCGUUCUAAUUUUUUAAGGUGUGUUUCUGUAGGUUGCGUAUGAACACUAGGUCUCACGGAAAUCCUCUCUUUGAGUUUGAUCCUGAAAUCAACGCUACUUUGCGCAAUAUCACCAAGCAAAAGAAUCAAGCUGAGCAGGAUACGAUGGCCACUCCUGAACAAAUCAACAUUCAAAUGCGAGCUUUGCAAGAGCAAGUGAAGAAGUUACUUGAUGAAAAGGCGACUACAGAGGCUCAGAAGCCUCCAAUUAAUGAG
rnacentral:lncRNA from 1 species